rnacentral:lncRNA from 1 species
CAUCGACCGUGUCAUUUCCGGUCAUCUAUGAUCGGGGGUGUCACAAAGGUGGUAUCAGAGCAUGGUUAUACGAUGCUAGAAUGGGACUUGUUUUAAAUGUUUUUCGAGUCAAAAUGAGUCGCAAGGAUAACUAGGAUAUGCUGGCUUGUUCCUUCAUUUUAGAAUAGAUAGUCAUGGGUAGUUACCUAACCUGAUCUUUCAUAGCAGAAGCACCAAGACAAGCUUGAACGGGUGAACCGUACUUAUCGAUGCUGCUAUCAUCAUGUUCGAGUUUUCUACCCUCAUGGCCAGGUUCACUACCGUCCUAUUAGGAGUCAGUAACGCCAUGCCUUCCUGCCGUUCUUUUGAGUUCUAGUGGGGAUGUCAAUUCUUUAGAGAGAUAUAUGGGACAGAAUUGAUACAUCGAUUCAUCGAAUACAUCUCCAGACUCGUGUGUUAUCGAUGUCAAGGUGGGUGUUGAUUGUGAUCCGAUUCAGAGAGAUUCGACUACACAUGAUCACUCAGAUGCACCUGUUACCUUCUGCUCAUGUUGAUCCAGUUUAUGAUGAGCCGUACCAGGACCAGAGC